UUUGAUUGAAAUUCAGGUUGAGAGACACCCAGAUGUCAGAAUGUUGUUGAUAAAAUUUUAUCUGUCUCGAUGAAACCGGAAUCAAAGGACAGAGUAUUCCUAGUACGGAUAGACAUUGCAUGUGUGAGUCAUACUAACCUGUUUGCUAUUUUGAGGUUUCAGUAUUCAGCCGGUGCGCAUAGCUCGUCUGUUCAGAUAACCUGCUGGGGGUCAACAAAUCCAAGCUGAUGGAUCUUAC
rnacentral:lncRNA from 1 species